GAGGUUAAGGAAAGAGCAAGUGUUUAUCAUAAAUCUCUUGAGUGCACUGGAGAUUUAUGUAAGGAUGUCUGAAGAUGUACCAGCUCAGUGCCACAGGACUGCGGACAGACAUUAAUUUUCAAACAGCUGAGCUGGUUGGAGGUCUUACAGCCAUUCCAGAUGCUUGCUACCAACCCUCUGCUGAUGGCUCCUGUACCCGUUGCUCUGCUGUUAGAAAAGGUGGUCCAAGGUCUUCCUAAUCUGUCAGGUGAAGUCUGUCAGACAGCUUUCAGUGCUGACAAAGAUGGUGUUAGUUGACCCAGCUGACAUUGCUUUACCUUUAAGAGGGAGCAUUUGCAUUACCAUGGGCUUUAGUAAGGAGGGACAGGGAGAAAAGAAGGCUUCAGCCUUUCCCACAGAACAUGUCUGCAGCCUCAGGCAGCUCCUGCAUUGCCUCCUACAGGUCUGAAGACAGGCAAUGCAUGCGUGUGGGUCUGGAUACAUCUACUGGGACAGAUAAUGUUGCCGCUGUUUCAGCUGAUACUCUGAAAGUGCUUUCAUCAGCUCAGAGCCAAAUAUCCCCAACUGGAAGGUAGAAGCUGUAGAACAACUGAUAUUAUUCAAGCCUCCAAGACCUAUUGUAUUAGGUCCAAGAUCUCAAGUUUUAUUUCUGGCUGUUCUGCGUCCAUCUCUGGCAAUUCCAGGAGACUCAUCCUGAAACCAGCUGCGGGCCCCUGGAAAGUGGGGUGCACCUUGGCGGUGGAUGCUGCUGUGGAGCAGAGCUUUCCCAGAGGAACCAGCCAGAGGAAUGGUCGCAGUGUCCUCCCCCAAAAGGUGGUGUGGAGGAUGGCUGCUGCCACCCACGUGCUUCCUGCAGUUGCUGCUUAAGCGUAGUGUUCUGUGCUCUCUGCCUGCAGUCGGAUUUGCCGUUUGCCCUAUGGAUAUCAUGGCCCAAAUCCUGUCCUAACUUAUAACUGUAAGACCAGUGGAGGUGCAUACAUGCACAUGAGAACACAACUAAUAGGAUGCUGAAGUCAUCUCACCAGUUUGAAAAAUCACAUUGAGGACUGAUGCUCGGAAAUGUCAUUUAAGGUCAUGUAAUUCCUGAAUCUGUAAAAUCCUAAUGUGCAGACAGCUUAUUUCCUGGUGCUAUGCUUUUAUAGGUGAAGGGAAUUUCACUUUCUUUAAUUUCAAAUUUUAGAGGCUGUACUACUAGAUCACCUUACUGGAGUUAAAACACUUUUAUAACAGCAUUUUACAAAACACAGCACUUGUCCCAUCCUACCUAGUGGUAAAAGCUUAUCUCCACCAGGAGAUUUUCGUAGAUUGAGAAAUGAAUUAAAAUAAUUUUUGACAUUUGUACAGAGGCUGAACAUUCAGUUUUCAGUUCAGUUUUAUAGAGGAUGGCUUUCAGAUUUUUUUUAAUUUUUUUUUUUACACCCAACUCCUUUAUUUGCUUUGGGUCAAUUGAAAGUUUUGGUUUUGAGUUUUGCAGCUUAUCUGAUGCAAUACAAACAGAAAAUCAAAAUGACAGUGGUGUUUAAGUUUUUUUUUUAUUAUUUAUUAUUAUUAAAAAAAAAAAAAAGCUAUGUUGCUCUGCAAACAUGUUGAAAAUAAAUGUUUCAACACUGCUGGAACGCUUUGUUUUCCUGGUUUUCUUCCUAAACAAAAUCCUGGCGAAACUAGCUGGAUUUUGCGAUGUGUUUUGGCUGCAGCAGAGCAGGAUCCCAGCAGCAUUUCUUCUGAUGGACUGAGAAGAGCAGGAGCAGCAGAGCUCCCCGUGCGGAGGGUUUUGUUCCAGAAGAAGAGCACUCCCUGGCCCGUGAAGAGGAGCGAUUCAACAUGCCUUCCGUCCGGGGGUCCAUGGAAACCCUUGUGGUUCUGCAGGUACACACUGAAUUAUGAAGGAGCUGCAGGCACUUAGAGAGCUGGAACAUGAUUAAUAACUGUCAAAUUAUAGUCUGUUUGUGGUUGGAGAAGAUCUGAAGCCCUGGGCAAGGUGUUCAGAAACUUUAGGACGAAGUCUUGACCUGGAAGAAAAAUGGAGUAUUGGUGAGCUGCAGCUCUGAGGAUCUCAUGAGGGAGUAGCUGGUAUGUGCAUGCCAACACAAGAGUCCUCAGACUCUUUCAUCAUGAGAACCACAUCUUGACUGCCAGAUAAACCACCUCCUUUUGUACUUGCAAUUGCAAAAUAGCUCCGUAGCAGCUCUAGCAAUUGCUCAGAGAGAAAUGAAAUAGAAAAACAUUUCAUGCAUCCUUAGUAUAGCAGGUGUUUCUACAAAAAAGACUAAUUGUGCAUUUUCAUUUGGCCUUUUGCUGCAUCUCUGCUCUGUGUCUGAACUGUUUCCUCUGCCAGGAGAAGAGUAGAGCCAGCCAACUUUUUGCAGACCUCUGCCAGUGUGUUUAGGUUUGUCAAUUUUAGGGUUGUUUUGUUGUAUGCAUUUUUUUAUUUUUAUUUUUGUUUUAGAUUGCACUGAGUAAAUUGUAUUUAUUCUGCUGUCAUGCAGUGUUUUGUAGAAAAAUUUAAGAAGUAACAUUUUUUCUCAUUCCUCUUUGCCGUGGAGGCCUCAAUCUUGCAUUAAGUUACAGGAGAAACCCAGAAACAGUUAAUCGAAUGUUAAACAAAACGAAUGAGGCUUGCACGGUGCCCCGAAGGUCAUUAGACUCAAGGUCUGAGCGGCUGCCAAGGGGAGCGAGCUCCAGCGCAGGAGCACUCAUCUGAGAAAUCCUCACUGCUGGACAUUGGGUGGUCGAACCUCAGCGCUGGCUGCAGGCGCCUCCCAGCUAAUCUCAGCUGCCAUGGCUGGACAUGGGGUGGGAAAUCUUAGCUACAAUAACUAUCCAAGAAAGCUUUUUGACGCAAAUAAUCAUCAGAGGAAACAAAUGCCCUUGUGGUUUCUACCGGAUUUUGUAAUAGGAGUCGUCUGGACGGCCAAGGCACAGCUGACCACCUCACCGCCCAGCACAGUGGAGGCGCGUCAUCCGUGAGGGGACUUUGCAGCCACUGCUCCUGCAAACAGCACCAGAAGAUCUCCGUGUGAAUAUGCAGUGGUUUUGCUGCUGCCUGCUUUCUCUCUGGCUUAAGGAGGAAGCCCGAGCCUUGGGCUGAGGCUCUUUCAGAGCCAGUGUAUGCCCCUUGGAUUUCUUGUUCCUGCAUUGCCUCUGAGGCAGGAUGGAGAGCAGAAAGCUGCUUACAUUCGGACUGCAUUCCAAAUUUCUUCAAAACGACUUUUUUCAAGAAAGGCACGUUUUCAGGGCCAGCACCGUGCGGCUGGCUCAGCCUCCAGACACACUUUCCAAAUCUUGUUGCCCAGAAUAGCAUGCUCUGAAAACACACUGCAGCCCCCCUGCCGUAGCUGGCCCAGCCUUUCACCGUGUCUGUACGACGAGGCUUUCCUCUCAGCUCAGAUGGCGGUGGUCUCAUGCAGAUGGCUGCAGAAGACCCCUUCACAAGGGCAGUUCUCCUUCCAGGCUUGUUUGGCUUGGCCUCAUCUGAACCAUGUGAGGCAAGGAACUUUGAGACCCCUUGCUCCAAUCUUACAGUACCCCUGCUUGCCUCCUGUUUUGCUCUGUCUCUGAUCAAUAGCUCUAGGUGGUGUAGGUAGCUUUUCAUGGGCACAUUUUAUUGCUCAUGGAUGAUGCCAGACUGACGGAUGUGGACAUAUGAAGUAAUCCGGGCAGUGGCUAAACGAGCUCCCCCAUGGCUUUCCCAGCGUGGCUGCCACGGAGUAAUCCCCUCUGUGGGUUAUUUCAGUGCUCUGUCCAGCUUUGACCCAUCAGCCAGGACUGAAAAAUCUGUUCCCGCUGCCACAACGCUUAACACUGCUUUUACUGUUUUCAGACUGUGCUUUGGAAACCCUCUCAUCGAUUUGAAUGGGCUUGGGAUCCAGCCUGGUGUUCUCGCACAUUGCAGAGUUCAGCUGAUUUUUCUUGCUCGUUUUUUCUUACACACCUUCAGGAUCUGCCCCCAUGCUAAGGAGCAGCAUUUGGAGGGUGCAGGUCUGGGCAUCGCCGCGUUGCCAGCACUGCGAGGGGGGAGGGUAACUAAUAAGGAAGUGAGCAAAUUGUGCUCGAAGUUUUUCUUCUUGCUGCCUCCGUGUCCCACCCCCAGGCUCCCCACGGCAGGUGUUGCAGAGGCGAAAGUCAGCGCCCCUGCGGAGCAAGACGAGAAGCACCCAAAGUCACCUCUUUCCUCCGCGUGCAACCCAGAACCCGGAAACUCCCACAUCUCACCCGGCUUGCAGCCCAGCUGUCUGAAACCACAGGCAGCAGGGGUGGAUAGCAGCCGGCUGCUCGUUGCGCUGCAGCCGGGGCGAUGGGGGAGAUAGUGGGGAGGAUCUCUAGGUGCAAGUAGGAGCAUGAAUCCACUGAAGAAAUAUUAACUCUAGCUGUGAAAGAUGAGGAAUAUCAAGCAAGGAAGCGAGCACACACACACACACACACACACACAAGACUCAGACUCGUGCAGUGCUGGAGGGUUUGGUUAUAUCUGAGUUUUUUCUCAGCAUUCAGUCCUUCUGACACGGCUCCACUGCUGGGGUGCUGAGGAGCAAUGUGGCGCUGCCAGCUCGAGCCUUGCAGGGCGAUAGGUGGGGAUUUCCUUGAAGCCCUUGUGUCUCCCUGCCAGAGUGCUGAGAUCACCUGGGAAUCUUGGCUUUCGAUGUAAGGAAAAGAGAAAAAAAUAAUUAAAAAAAAAGAGAGAGAGAGAGACUCAAGCACUCACGAGUGUACAGAGAGAUUUAAAAUGGGAAAUGCGUGUGACCUGUAGCCAAAUAAUAACUGAAAGUGUGUUGCAGAUAACAUCCUGGUCUUCAACUUGAAAGUUAAACAGCAAAUGCUUUUGGAUCUCUUUAAAACCUUGCUUGACGCUAGCAGUCUUGAGGAAUGUGAACUGGUGCAUUGGUUAAACUGCUCGGGAGCGGCCUGAUGGUGCAGCAGCUGAAGCGGUAGCAGUGGCCUUCGAGUUGCCCUUUGGCACUCGAGGCUGCACAGGGCACAUGCUUCAGCUCCCCGCUGCCCAGGCCAGGGGAGGCCAGGCUGCCUUGGCCUGUGUUUGCUCUCAGCUCUGCCCCUGGAUGGCAGCAUUUCUACUGGUGCAGCAAGGCAAAAUUGUUCAGGGAAAAAAAUAAAAAUAAAAAAAAUAAAGCAGGGGCAGAUGAGGCUUUUGGGUACUGCCAGGUUAAGGUGUUGGAAGGCAGAGCGACCUGGCAUGCCUGUGUGAUGACCAGCAGCGCCCAGCCCAUUGCGGCUGGGAGGGGAGGCUUACUCAUAGCUGCAGCCCUGCUGCAUCUGCAGGGCAAAGAGCAAUGAAAAUUUUGCUACUUUGGAUGCUAACUCAUGGCAGCAGGUGGCUUUAGCUGUGGCGAAUGACACAGUUAAUGCUUCCUGCUCCUGGCUGCUCCCUUUAGCCAGAGGUUACUGCAGAGCUGGUAGUGGUGGCCGAGCAGAGGGUAUGUUGGUCCCUCAUAGAUUAACUCUAAGGCCUUAGGAUGUUUCACCAAGUGGGCUGCUGGUCCAGUCCAUGAAUAUCUCUGUCUUGACUUUUUUAUUUUGAAUGUUAGACCCUGCCCACAAAGAUGAAGCCUUUUCUGGCCUCAGUUUUCAGUAUUGCUGCUGUUCUUUCUUUCUAUCUUCUCUCUUCGUUGCCUUGACCAUGGGUAGAGGUGCAGGGGCUGUCAGUACCUGCAUGUUCCCAUCCUGUGUGUGAGUAGUGCUCUGCACAAAGCGGGCCACGAGGAGCUGGAGAAGCUGCAGGUAAGCAUCUGAGGAGUAAUGCUGGCCUUCUCAGUGAGGCAGUGUGUUCUGCAUGGCUAGGGCGGCAGAAACAGGGCUCACGAGUGACGGAGCAGAAUCAGCGAUUACUAUUUGGCAGGAGAUGCUUAAACUUUGUCAAGCCAGGCAAGUAUCUCCAUUGUGGUCUCUGACUCACAAUUCAAAUAUGCUGGGAACAUUUGAGGGGGCUGGGUCAGUCCUUCAAGCAGUGGGAAAAACAAGGCUUUAAUACAUCGGCCGCGUAGCUUUGGGUCUGUGCUCCACUGUUCUGCUUUUCUUUGAGGAAAACUGGUGUGGCUGGUGGGGCGGAGAGGGAGGUGUUGUGAAACCACGCACACACGCACACACAUGUGCCAGGCCUGAUUUCGAUCCCUUCUGACAACGUUUCAUACUCCUUCGGCUGCAGUGAUGGAGCUGCAGUGCUUGUGACCUACCCUCUGAGGUGAGCCGAGGAGCACGCUGUCUGUGGUUGCCACCACAUCCCCACCUCUGCUGCAGCAUCCCGGCUGAGCCGUGCCGUGCAGAGGAGCUCGUGGUGGGGCACGGGAGCUGAUAAAGCCCUGUGGCCACCCAGGGCAUGCACUGAUGCUCCUGAUGAAGGUGCUUCCUGCUGAUAUGGAGGGCAAGGCAGAUAAGGAGCAGGCAUCUUCCCCCAGAUCCCAUUGCCGGGUGAGAGUGUCUGCUUCCUGCCAGACCCUGCCCUGGUGGCUCCUCGUUGUGUCUCCUGCUUGGGGAUGCUCCCAGUGCCCUGUGUUGCCGGGCGAGGGGUGGCCGUGCAGCAGAGCUGCCGCUAGCUCCACGGUGCAGCCAGCCGCUGGGACGCGAGGCUCUGCUCGGCUCGCCUCACAGCCUGGCUUCCUGUGUGUUCUUCCCCGCUAUGGUUUUGACCAGAAAUUCCAUUUUUGACCCGAAAAAUCUUCCAGAUGAAAAUUUAAUUAAAAAAGUGAUGUAUUCCCACAAGAAACUUCAGUGUCAGCAAAUAAGCUUUUUUUUUUUUUUUUUUUUUUUUUUUUAAAUGAAAAACCGUUUUAUUCGCACACAAAAAUGACAUCCAAACUGGCUCCCAUUGAGUCCACUGUAGAGCAUUAUACUCCUAAAAGCCCUAGAGUUUUGUUUAAUAAAAAAUAUUCACGAUUCACAAUUAGCAUCCAUUAGGCAUACAGAUCACAAAGAGCUGGUACCACAAGGGAGGUUCUCCUGUACUGGGCACGGUCCGUCUGUGAGUCAUUAAAUCAUGAACUGUGAUCUGUAAAUGUUGCUGGCAGUGGAGAAGUGGGAUGAAGGAGAAGUGGGAGCCUUAACCCAGAGAAAAGGAGUUGUUCCUUUUGUGUCACAGAUUACCUUGCUGAUCAUGGGCUUCGGCAUCACGCCUUUCCACACAGCAAAGGUGACGGUGCUUUCCUCCAUCUGAUGCGAUUUGUACAUAUUUGUACAUAUUUUCCUGAUGCAGAGGUCUCUGCUGGCAGCUGUUGUUGGUUGCACAUUUACUUGGGAUCAUCACAUGCAGAGAAAGGCUGUUGGCUUGGGCAGAGCAGCUGCUCCAGGGCCGGAUCAGUCUCCCUGGGAUUCAGCGCAACGUACAGAAAGCCUGCUGGUGGCAAGGUGCACGUCCACACAGCAGAAAACUUUGUAAGGCCAUCAACAAAGGCCAAAUAAAAUAACCUGUAGGAAGUCAACAGGGGGGAAGAAGCAGAGACAGGGUGUGAGUGUGUGUAUUUAUGUGAACAAAAUAAUGAUAAGCUGUAAACUAUGAAAUAUCUGCUCGCUCAUUAAUGCGUCUGCUUCUGACUAAUGCUGGGGUGUUCCUGCUGUCCAGCAGCCAAAGUGCAAACAAGGGGACUGCUGUGACUUAGUGCCCAAUAUUUAAACACACGGGGACAAUUCAGGCCACCCACACUCCUAUGUAAAUAUGACUUCUGCAGAGUCAUUUCAGACCGGACCCGGGGGAAGUCAGGGCAAAACUGGCCCUUACGUGGCCGGUGCAGGCAUUGGGGGCCAGGCAUUGCCUUCUGCUAGCCCAGGGAGCCCCUGCUUGCUCCUCAGGACUUGUGUGCAGCUAGCUGUGGGCAGAGCUGGCUCCUGAUGCUAACUGGACUUUUUUUUCUAGCUCAGGGAAGGCUCUUCCUUGCUUGGAGGGAAGCAGCAUUUUCCCUGGAGCUGCUCUGGAUGUGGCUCCUGCCUGCAUCCAUUGCCUCCUCCCCCAGACCUGAGCUCCUUCCUGCCUGGCUUCUUGCUGCGCAGCAUCCAGAGACACGGACUGGGAACCUAAAUGCAACCAGAGUCUGCCAGCACAUGAGAGUGAGAAAGUGGAACUGUCCCCCAGCAGAAAGGGAAAUGGUCCCCUGUAUUUGUGAGCUAGGCUAAGCCAGGAGUAAAAGGAAGCAGUCACAAGCAAGCUGCAAAAAGAAGUGAUCGAUUCUAGGGGCAGGAAGAACCAGGCACCAGUGACAGCCCCCGCAGCAAUACAAAGGAUGAACAAAACUCUCCCUGAGGAUUUGGCUACAUCUAGAGGAGAAGCACAUCUUGAGAGUGUAUGAUCUAUCCUAUGCUGCCACAUAAGAAAACCUUUCUGUAUGCAGAGGAUUUUUUCUAGAAAGGCGAGCAGUAAUUAUUGCGGUUAAUAGCCCAGGUGUUACUGCAAUACAGAUAAGUCUCAGUCAUGGUCCUUGACUCCAUGUCUCUUGUUUUAAGCAGAAGUCAGGAAAACUGUCCUUGCCAUCACAGGGAAGCGUUGUCCACAUUCCCACAUCAAAGACAUUGAAACAUAAUUCUCCUCGUCUCCCAUCCAGUGUCUCAAACAUGACUCAUUUUGAGGCUCUGCCUUUUAUUCUGAGCAGGCUGAUGCUGCUGCACUUCUAAAGGAAUUCACCCUCUGCCAGAUCCUACUGUGGUGCUCAUAGCCAGCUCUUCAGCCUGUACUCCUUCAGGUGCUUUGCCAGUGCCUGACCACCUUUUUGAAAGUUGUCUCAGACUGCAAAUGCUGAGAUGGUAGUGGAAAAUUGGCUUGCACUUCUCAGAAAACUGCAUCUCUCAGAAAACAGAAGUAAAAGCCCAGGCUGAAGGUAAAGGGACAUACCAACGUGGGCAAAGUGAACAGUCUGUUUUGUUCCUGUGUGAUGCCUGUGGAAGAGCAGAAGUGCUGUGCUGGAUUAAGGCAGCAGCAAGCAGCCUGUUUUGGGCAGUGCUGAGCACCCCAGGGCUUUCAGGCCAAGACAAAAAGCUUCAUAUCAGACACUUAAGGGUUUGGUUGCCUGGAGGGGGACCUUCUUCCUAACCACUGUGCAGUGUCUGGUGCCAUAUUAUGAAACCUGAGGGCUCAUGUCUAACUGGCAAAGAUACGACGGUCCAUCUGCACGUGAUGCCCCAUGCUGGGUCCUAAGCCUGUGGCAUGAGGUGUAUCUUGGGGCAGGUUGUCCGUGCAAUCUAAGAAAAACAGUUAAGGCUGGUGAAGUUGUCUCUGGGCCAUAAGAAAUUGACAAAGAGAAAUAUUUUACUAGCCUUUUCUGUAGAGCAGUCUGUUUUCACCUCCUCUAGUCUUGAGUGUGUUAAGUCUUCUGUAGCAAGCCAUGGGAGAUGGCCUAUGGUGCAAAAUCCCAUAAGUCCUUUCCAACUCUUUCCACACCAUUUUUGUCAUCUCUCUUUGUAAUCUCUUCUUUCUCUUGUAGCUAACAUCCUCUGAGGCGGGUGUAGUGGCAACAUCUGAGCACAGGCGAGACUGUAGAAACAUUAUAAAGAUAAAUAAGAUUCCUCCUUGUCCUCCCUAAUUAUUUUUACCCUCUGUGGUGACCACUUACGGCCUAAACAAUGGAAACAUUAUUUCCCUUACAAAGUAGUGGUAGUAGCAAAGAUGGAGAUGCCUGUUUUUAACAUUGCUUGUUCCUAAGCAGACCUUUUCCAUAUCAUUCUUACCACUUAUCUGACCAAUAAAUCUGCAAAUACAUGCAAGUGGUAUUUACUGUGUUGUUACAUGUACCUAGAGGCAGAUGGUGAGCCAGUACCAAAGCUCACAUUUUUGUACCUUUAUGCAACAUCUUGGGAGCUGGAUUAAAUCUCUACCUUAGUUGGGGCUUCACAGAGGCCUCUGCAUACAUCCAGGAUCUGGACUGAAAGAUCCCAGCCUUGCCAAGAUUUAAGCCCAUCUUAAACCGAACUUGCUACGUGCCUUGAAAUCUAAGCCGUCUCCUGCGCUCUCUCUC